rnacentral:lncRNA from 1 species
GAGACACUGGUAUGGCAUACAGGUGAGAGGUAGGAGUAUAUCUCACAGAAUGUGACCAACUGCUGAGCAUUCUGCUGUCAAUAGUAGCUUACAAAAAAUAUGGAUAUAAGUAUCCCUCCGACCUGAAAUUACCACGGUGACUUGCAAGCAACUCAUUAUGCUUUGGUGUUGGACUAUCUAAAUUUUUAAUUCAGUGAUAGAAAAAUUUUGGGUACAAUCAAGUACUUGUGAUAGUCGAUGUGUGAUUCAAGAUAGGAUUGACC